rnacentral:rRNA from 1 species
AUUGAACGCUGGCGGCAUGCUUUACACAUGCAAGUCGAACGGUAACAGGUCUUCGGAUGCUGACGAGUGGCGAACGGGUGAGUAAUACAUCGGAACGUGCCUAGUAGUGGGGGAUAACUACUCGAAAGAGUAGCUAAUACCGCAUGAGAUCUACGGAUGAAAGCAGGGGACCUUCGGGCCUUGUGCUACUAGAGCGGCUGAUGGCAGAUUAGGUAGUUGGUGGGGUAAAGGCAUACCAAGCCUGCGAUCUGUAGCUGGUCUGAGAGGACGACCAGCCACACUGGGACUGAGACACGGCCCAGACUCCUACGGGAGGCAGCAGUGGGGAAUUUUGGACAAUGGGCGAAAGCCUGAUCCAGCAAUGCCGCGUGCAGGAUGAAGGCCCUCGGGUUGUAAACUGCUUUUGUACGGAACGAAAAGCCUGGGGCUAAUAUCCUCGGGUCAUGACGGUACCGUAAGAAUAAGCACCGGCUAACUACGUGCCAGCCGCCGCGGUAAAAC